AUAACAGGGGACACAGCAAGCCCUCAAAUCAUUCCCCAGGAUGAAAAUGACACGGAGCUGACAUAAUAUCUGAGGUGAGAUGGAACUGAAAUCCUCAGCACCUGAACACUUCACCUACUGAUGGGUAACCUGACCCUAACCAAUCUUAUAAUCAUACCCAUGUCAGGGGGGAAGCUGCAUUUCCAGGAGCAGAAGCCUUUCAAAUCAACGUCUUCCAUGGAAAAUCAGCUGCCACCUUGGGGGCCAGAGCUCCCUGCCUGCUCGGGCUCUUCAUUCCGGGUGCUUCGGUUUAUGGAGCAGCAGCUGAACGGGCUCCUCGGGGGAUUUGAAGAGAUCCAGGUUGAGCUCAGAGCUGGAACUUUCAAACCAAAGUGCAGACAGCAAGGACUUGGGGUGAUUGGGAUUUUUUUCAGGCACGGGGAGUGAUUUUUUGGCACAGGAAGUCACCUUUUGUAGUGGAACCAUCUUUUAAGAAGAAAGGAAAAAUGAAGCAGUUCAUUGUACUGCUCCAAAUAAUGUCAUAUUGAUAACUUUAAUGGUGCAAACAUCUCCCUAUUUUUAAAACUAUUAUUUAUAUCUCUAAAUCUCACCUCUUUAAAUUUAUCUUUCAAAAAUGCAUGCUGGAAGGUCCUGAUUUCAGAGACUCCUUUGUGCUUUUACAUCCACAUUUUUCUGGAGAGGGCAGACAAGCUCAAAUUAAAAAUCCCUUUUACAUAAGUGGAGCUGGAUCAAAAUCCUCCUACAAUAUUCCCUGAGCCAAUCUAUUUACACUUCCCCAAACAAUCCUUGAGCUGGGCUGUGGGAUGAAUCAGCAUGUAUUUAAAUCAAAGGCAGACAGGAAAGACUGCAUCAGUUCUGUGCCACAGACCUGUCAAAGCCCCGAAGAGAUUAAAGGCGUGACCCCUUCAUCCCUAACAUUGCUCCACAAGAGACAUUUCUGUCACUAUUUCUGCCACUUGGCUUUCUAAGAUGCCACGAAGCCUUAGGGCGACCUCUGCUACAUUUCAGUGUUGUUUAUUGAUUUCUGACCCAGUGCUUAAUAGUUUUCCCAGUCCCCCUGAAUGGCUUUUGUAAGCAAUAGGGUUUGUGCAUCUCACCGAUCAAUACCUUUUAUAUUUACAAUAAAAUUGAAACUGCUUCUGCUGGGGGUGCA
rnacentral:lncRNA from 1 species